UUACCAGGUCUUGACAUCCCGAUGCUAUUUCUAGAGAUGAAAGUUACUUCGGUACAUCGGUGACAGGUGGUGCAUGGUUGUCGUCAGCUCGUGUCGUGAGAUGUUGGGUUAAGUCCCGCAACGAGCGCAACCCCUAUUGUUAGUUGCCAUCAUUCAGUUGGGCACUCUAGCGAGACUGCCGGUAAUAAACCGGAGGAAGGUGGGGAUGACGUCAAAUCAUCAUGCCCCUUAUGACCUGGGCUACACACGUGCUACAAUGGUUGGUACAACGAGUUGCGAGUCGGUGACGGCGAGCUAAUCUCUUAAAGCCAAUCUCAGUUCGGAUUGUAGGCUGCAACUCGCCUACAUGAAGUCGGAAUCGCUAGUAAUCGCGGAUCGGCACGCCGCGGUGAACACGUUCCCGGGCCUU
rnacentral:rRNA from 1 species